GGUUAGAGUCUUACUCCAACCCAUGUGAACAUACCAUACGUUGCCUCGGCAGGUCGCGCCUACCCCGUAGCGUCCUACCCUAUAGGACCUACCCGGUAGACGCGGGUAAGCCUGCCGGCGGCCCAAGAAACUCUGUUUAGUAUUGAAUUCUGAACCUAUAACUAAAUAAGUUAAAACUUUCAACAACGGAUCUCUUGGUUCUGGCAUCGAUGAAGAACGCAGCGAAAUGCGAUAAGUAAUGUGAAUUGCAGAAUUCAGUGAAUCAUCGAAUCUUUGAACGCACAUUGCGCCCAUUAGUAUUCUAGUGGGCAUGCCUGUUCGAGCGUCAUUUCAACCCUUAAGCCCUCGUUGCUUAGUGUUGGGAGCCUACGGUACCCGUAGCUCCUCAAAGUUAGUGGCGGAGUCGGUUCACACUCUAGACGUAGUAAUUUUAUCUCGCCUAUCAGUUGGACCGGUCCCCUGCCGUAAAACACCCCAAUUUCUAAAGGUUGACCUCGGAUCAGGUAGGAAUACCCGCUGAACUUAAGCAUAUCAAUAAGCCGGAGGA
rnacentral:rRNA from 1 species